rnacentral:rRNA from 1 species
AGGGUGACAGGUGGUGCAUGGUUGUCGUCAGCUCGUGUCGUGAGGUGUUCGGUUAAGUCCGCUAACGAGCGCAACCCUCGCUGUGUGUUACAAGUGUCACACGGAACUGCCGGUCAUAAACCGGAGGAAGGUGGGGAUGACGUCAAGUCAGCAUGGCCUUUAUAUCCUGGGCUACACACACGCUACAAUGGGAAGGGACAAUAGGUUGCGAAGCCGCGAGGCGGAGCCAAUCCAGCAAAACUUCCCUCAGUUCAGAUUGCAGGCUGCAACCCGCCUGCAUGAAGUUGGAGUUGCUAGUAAACGCAGGUCAGCCAUACUGCGUUGAAUACGUUCCUGGGGCUU